AAGAUCUCUUCUGUAGCAAUGCUAUCAUCCGAGAAGUAGCGGCAGCAGAUCAAAAUACCGGCAUUGUUGCUAAUGAUUCCAGUCAUUGCUUAAAAAUUGGAACCCACCCGCAGAAUUUAGAUGGAGCAACCAAAUCAGAACCAAAUCGCCACUCAACAAACAAUUUCUACGUGAAACAACAACACUAGCACAAACUAGAAACACUUCCAAGAUCAACCAACUGGCACAUAACUUCCAUCGUGAACCGAAUAAUCUAAUCACUUUCCAAAAUAGCUUGUCGGAACUGGCAUAAGGAAAGAACAUAAUGGUCCACAUGACUAUGGCCCUGGAGGCCGGCGGCGAUACCGGUACCGGUGCUACCAGUCAACAAUCUCGCCUGAAUGUGGAAGUUGACACCAACUGAUUUCUCUUGUGCACCUGGAACAACGAAAACCAUACUUUCUACUACUGGAUCAAACGGAAGUGAUUAAAAGGAGAUAACACUUGGUCCACCGGUCAUGAAAGAAUUGGAGACGGAUGGCUAAAUUCCUCUACCGAUACGGCAAGUAAAGAUUGGCCCGAUAGGAAACCCGUGAAUGGGAACCCAAAUGAAAAUCGAAAAAAAUCCGAACAUCACACCAGGAAAUAUUGCUCGUACCUUACGCCUGCAUCUAUAUUGUUUCGGCAGAGGAUUCGAAGUUGUUAGCAAAGUUGUUAUAAAAAAAAAUACUUCGAGAAGCCUUUGACUUAUGUGGUUUUGGCAGCGGCACUGGUGGUGGCAAAACUCCUCAUGGCCCUCCAUCAGGAUGGUUUGCCGGUGAUUUUUUUUUGGAUCCAACGGAUGGAACCAACGUCUGCAACAAUUAGUCCGCUAGAGAUCGAUGGACCAACUACCUGUACGCUGUGCAUGCAGUAUAGUCUGUUGCAAUACUUUCAUCUUUACCUGAAUCGUAUAACGUAUUAAUUACACUCUACAAUUAUCAAUCUCGCAAAGAAGGCAAUAAGGUGCAAAUGGCACUGAACAAUUGUGUACCAGGCGAUAGGCAACACAUCCAUUUGCGCCGAAUCUCCCACGGAUAAUGAAGUGCAAACUGUUUUGCAGAACUUGAAAUUCCGGGAGGCCACAACAAUAAUAAUAAUAGUAUUAAAAGUAAUAUGAGCUCCGCUGAUGAGGAGAUGGAGGUGGCAAACAAAAAUUCCCCACAGUGGUGCAUCAAUGGUUUUAGCAGCCGAAUGUUUAACGGAUAUAAGAUUCUGCCACGACCGAUGUAUACCAAAUCCGACGUAGUGGGAUAUAUUAAUGUAAAAAUAUUGCUCCGAGUAUUACUUUGGAAAGCAAAAAGCAAAAGUUUUAAAUUUUCACAGAAUUAUUUUCGCUAUUUGGAGUGAUCCUGUUGUUCUACCAACCACUGUCGUACCUCAACAUCGAUAUAGUAAUUGUAAUUUGUAAUAAAAUUCA